AAUUUAUUUAGUUUUAUAUAUGUCACCUCAUCAUAGUAUGAGGGUCAAUUAAUAUGCAGGAGAAUGCUUCAGAGUCAUAUUUACUUGCUUCCUUAAUUGAAAACUAAAUAAUUUUAUAUCACUCAUUUUUUGUUACAUGCUUGGUCCUUUUAUUCCUUAUUAACUGUAAUGUUAUUUAGUAGUAUUUUUUCUUCCUUGCUGAUGUUUGUUAACAUAUAGCAGCCGCAUAUGAAGAAUGUCAUGG
rnacentral:misc_RNA from 1 species